UACCACUUGUGACAGGAACGACCUGUAGGGGGUGUAUAGUUCCAUUAUGGCCCUUUUAAAUGGAGACACCAGGAAUGGGGGGCUAAAGAGUGUUUACAUAGGAGACUGUAAUGUUCGGCCGCAUUUAUAGCGUACUGCAGUGGGUCCGCGACUCUUGCAUAAAGAUCAUUUGCUAAGGAGACUACACUAUCGAGUCAGACUUUACCGCUGGGCAGGGAUGACGUAGUGCACAGGUAAAGAUGGUUUGUAGAGGAGAAGGUACUCUUAAGCUGGUUUUGCGUUGGACAGCGGCAGUGACGUAUUGCGCAGAUGAGCGGGGUUGUUAUAUUACCGGUCCUGCGCAGUUGCAUUUGUUUGGCGUGGUGAACGAUAGCGGCAUAAGUCGGCAGUGCGGCGCGAUUCUGCGGUACUGAGACCUGUCUGAGCGCCUUAGGAUCUAACUCAGUGUGGUGCUGUAAACGGUGUGUGACUAUGCUGGUGUGAGUAUACAUUUGGUGUCUAUUUAGUUUUACUAAAGUUGUGUGUGUGUAGUUGACUGAUAUGCUGGUGUUACAUCCUACAGGAUGAGAGCUGUAGAGAAGUUGGCUACAGGUGUAUGUAAAAGGUGUUGAGAGUUGAGGAGCCCAGUGUUGGCCAACUGUAAGUUUUAGAAUCUCUCUCUGUAGAGGAGAGUGGAUAAUUAACUACUGAAAGCAGACCAGUCCCAGUGAGAACCUCUGAAGGUUCAUCUUAUAGUGGUUGAAGGUAAUAGGAUGUUUGUGUGUGUGUGAGUAUGCUGGUGUGAGGUGUGUCUGCCUAUGUGAAGAAAAAAAAACAAGGGAGAUGUAUAAAUAAAUUAACGCUGUUUUUCAUCCCCUUGCUGUAGGCUACCCUGUUGGCACCAGUCGCUGUUUUGUUUUGGUUCUUGGUUUUGUUUAUUGUUUUUUUUUGUUUAAUAGAAUUCAAGCAUUAAUUUUUUUUUUGUAUUAUUACCAUUAUAUUUUUUUUAUAUACACGGUUGAUUCUACUAUAUUGUCCUAUACGUCCAUGUUUAUUGGUGGUAAUAAUUGGUGCUGGUGACCUGUAUACUGUCUGUUUCUUGAUCUUAAAGGGGCAGUGUUGCAUGAUAUUCAGUAAAGAGGGCAAAUUGUUUUAAUUAGGUUAAAUAAUUAAAAUACUCAUCUUGUUUUUUAAUUUUGUUGUUUUUUUUGUUUUGUUUUUUUCUUUUAGGUGCUGUGGUGGGGCAUCCUCCAGUGCGGAGCUAUUUUGUAUUUGUCGUGGUUGUGUGUGGGUAACUAAAUUCACGAGUGUUCUCUUUUUGUUUGCAAGUAGUGCAGUGAGUUAUUUCUUUUUUUAAGUAGAAGAACUCCCCCUGGAGUGAUACGACCACCACAGUGACCUUUAUUACAUGUCCAUAUUUAUGUUCAUAAAUAUUUUUUUUUAUUGUUUAUAAUAAAGAUUGUUAUUGAUUGCCCUCUA